AUGGCCGCCGAAGAAACUCUGCGCCGACGCCAUGGACAUCGUGCCCUUGAGCAGCAGCGCUUGAGCGCUCCUCCACCUCGUGCCCCCACCUCGUCAGAUCCGCCACCGGCAGCAGCAGCAACUCCAUCUCGUUGUUUUCCGAACAGGAGGAGCCCCGUCCCCUCCAUGGAUUUGACCACCGCCGCCGGAGUUCAACUCAAUGGCCUCCCCGCGGCCUCGCACGUCCACGUCGCCGACGGCAACAGCAGUAGGGAGCCCGUCAUGGCGUCCUUGAGGUGUUCAGGCAGCAGUAGCGCCUCAAGCUCUCCGCUCGGAUCCGUGCUUCCGCAGCCGCCUGGAGCUCCAACCUCCGCCGGAUCUCACCGUCCCCUCGCCCUUCGACGGAUCCGAGUCCAGGCGCUCGUCCCCGUCUUCCCGGCCUCCUCAGCGCCGGUUGCAGCAUCGAGUAGCAUCCCAGAACGAGACGACCAGCGCUGCCCCCUUGUUGACUUGGUCCAGCGCUACCGUGGACAAGGGCCACAUCGAUCGAGCGGCCCUGCUACUACCUCUCCAGAUCUGGGCUUGGCCCAUGGGUGA
rnacentral:rRNA from 1 species